rnacentral:rRNA from 1 species
GGCGCACGGGUGCGUAACGCGUAUGCAAUCUACCUUUCACAGAGGGAUAGCCCAGAGAAAUUUGGAUUAAUACCUCAUAGUAUAGCAAAACCGCAGGGUUUUACUAUUAAAGUCACAACGGUGAAAGAUGAGCAUGCGUCCCAUUAGCUAGUUGGUAAGGUAACGGCUUACCAAGGCAACGAUGGGUAGGGGUCCUGAGAGGGAGAUCCCCCACACUGGUACUGAGACACGGACCAGACUCCUACGGGAGGCAGCAGUGAGGAAUAUUGGUCAAUGGACGCAAGUCUGAACCAGCCAUGCCGCGUGCAGGAUGACGGUCCUAUGGAUUGUAAACUGCUUUUGUACGAGAAGAAACACUGCUUCGUGAAGCAGCUUGACGGUAUCGUAAGAAUAAGGAUCGGCUAACUCCGUGCCAGCAGCCGCGGUAAUACGGAGGAUCCAAGCGUUAUCCGGAAUCAUUGGGUUUAAAGGGUCCGUAGGCGGUUUAGUAAGUCAGUGGUGAAAGCCCAUCGCUCAACGGUGGAACGGCCAUUGAUACUGCUGAACUUGAAUUAUUAGGAAGUAACUAGAAUAUGUAGUGUAGCGGUGAAAUGCUUAGAGAUUACAUGGAAUACCAAUUGCGAAGGCAGGUUACUACUAAUUGAUUGACGCUGAUGGACGAAAGCGUGGGUAGCGAACAGGAUUAGAUACCCUGGUAGUCCACGCCGUAAACGAUGGAUACUAGCUGUUGGAGGCAACUUCAGUGGCUAAGCGAAAGUGAUAAGUAUCCCACCUGGGGAGUACGAACGCAAGUUUGAAACUCAAAGGAAUUGACGGGGGCCCGCACAAGCGGUGGAGCAUGUGGUUUAAUUCGAUGAUACGCGAGGAACCUUACCAAGGCUUAAAUGUAGAUUGACCGUUUUGGAAACAGAUCUUUCGCAAGACAAUUUACAAGGUGCUGCAUGGUUGUCGUCAGCUCGUGCCGUGAGGUGUCAGGUUAAGUCCUAUAACGAGCGCAACCCCUGUUGUUAGUUGCCAGCGA